GUCGAACGAAGAGCUCGGUGUAGCAAUACACUGAAACUCUUAGUGGCGAACGGGUGAGUAACGCGUUGGUGACCUGCCCCAAAGAGAGGGAUAACAGUUCGAAAGGAUUGCUAAUACCUCAUGUGAUCGUCUGGAUUAGAUGCCUAAUGAUCAAAGGAGCUUGCUCCGCUUUGGGAGGGGCCUGCGUACCAUCAGCUAGUUGGUAGGGUAAUGGCCUACCAAGGCUAUGACGGUUAGGGGACCUGAGAGGGUGGCCCCCCACAAUGGAACUGAAACACGGUCCAUACACCUACGGGUGGCAGCAGUAGGGAAUAUUGGUAAUGUGCGAAAGCGCGAACCAGCAACGCCGCGUGUGCGAAGAAGGCCUUCGGGUUGUAAAGCACUUUUCGGGAGGAAGAGGAAGGACUGUACUCCCGGAAUAAGUCUCGGCUAACUACGUGCCAGCAGCCGCGGUAAUACGUAGGAGGCUAACGUUAUCCGGAUUUACUGGGCGUAAAGCGCGUGUAGGCGGUUCGGUAAGUUGGACGUGAAAGCUCCCGGCUCAACUGGGAGAGGUCGUUCAAUACUGUCGGACUAGAGGAUGGUAGAGGGAGGUGGAAUUCCGGGUGUAGUGGUGAAAUGCGCAGAUAUCCGGAGGAACACCAGUGGCGAAGGCGGCCUCCUGGACCACUCCUGACGCUCAGACGCGAAAGCUAGGGUAGCGAACGGGAUUAGAGA
rnacentral:rRNA from 1 species